rnacentral:rRNA from 1 species
AAUAGAUACCCUGGUAGUCCACCCCGUAAACGUUGGGAACUAGUUGUGGGGUCCUUUCCACGGAUUCCGUGACGCAGCUAACGCAUUAAGUUCCCCGCCUGGGGAGUACGGCCGCAAGGCUAAAACUCAAAGGAAUUGACGGGGACCCGCACAAGCGGCGGAGCAUGCGGAUUAAUUCGAUGCAACGCGAAGAACCUUACCAAGGCUUGACAUACACGAGAACACCCUAGAAAUAGGGGACUCUUUGGACACUCGUGAACAGGUGGUGCAUGGUUGUCGUCAGCUCGUGUCGUGAGAUGUUGGGUUAAGUCCCGCAACGAGCGACAACCCUCGUUCUAUGUUGCCAGCACGUUAUGGUGGGAACUCAUGGGAUACUGCCGGGGUCAACUCGGAGGAAGGUGGGGAUGACGUCGAAAUCAUCAUGCCCCUUAUGUCUUGGGCUUCACGCAUGCUACAAUGGCCGGUACAAAGGGCUGCAAUACCGUGAGGUGGAGCGAAUCCCAAAAAGCCGGUCCCAGUUCGGAUUGAGGUCUGCAACUCGACCUC